UACAGAGGGGGCAAGCGUUGUUCGGAAUUACUGGGCGUAAAGGGCGCGUAGGCGGCCUUCUAAGUCGAACGUGAAAUCCCCGGGCUCAACCCGGGAACUGCGUCCGAUACUGGAAGGCUUGAAUCCGGGAGAGGGAUGUGGAAUUCCAGGUGUAGCGGUGAAAUGCGUAGAUAUCUGGAGGAACACCGGUGGCGAAGGCGACAUCCUGGACCGGUAUUGACGCUGAGACGCGAAAGCCAGGGGAGCAAACGGG
rnacentral:rRNA from 1 species